rnacentral:rRNA from 1 species
UUCGCAAUGCCCGAAAGGGUGACGAAGCGACGCCGCGUGUGGGAAGAAGGCCUUCGGGUUGUAAACCACUGUCGGGAGUUAAGAAAUGUAAGGGUGUUAAUAGCGCCUUUACUUGACAAAGGCUCCGGAGGAAGCCACGGCUAACUCUGUGCCAGCAGCCGCGGUAAUACAGAGGCGGCAAGCGUUGUUCGGAAUUAUUGGGCGUAAAGAGCACGUAGGCGGCCCUGAAAGUCAGUUGUGAAAGCCUUCUGCUUAACGGAAGAAUAGCAGCUGAUACUACAGAGCUUGAGUACGGGAGGGGAGAGUGGAACUUCUGGUGGAGCGGUGAAAUGCGUAGAUAUCAGAAGGAACGCCGGCGGCGAAAGCGACUCUCUGGUCCGUAACUGACGCUGAGUGUGCGAAAGCUAGGGGAGCAAACGGGAUUAGAUACCCUGGUAGUCCUGGCUGUAAACGAUGGGCACUAAGUAGAGGGGUUUU